CCUACGUGAGGCAGCAGUGGGGAAUAUUGCACAAUGGGGGAAACCCUGAUGCAGCGACGCCGCGUGAGCGAAGAAGUAUUUCGGUAUGUAAAGCUCUAUCAGCAGGGAAGAAAGAAAUGACGGUACCUGACUAAGAAGCCCCGGCUAACUACGUGCCAGCAGCCGCGGUAAUACGUAGGGGGCAAGCGUUAUCCGGAUUUACUGGGUGUAAAGGGAGCGUAGACGGCGAUGCAAGUCUGAAGUGAAAGGCGGGGGCCCAACCCCCGGACUGCUUUGGAAACUGUAUGGCUGGAGUGCAGGAGAGGUAAGUGGAAUUCCUAGUGUAGCGGUGAAAUGCGUAGAUAUCAGGAGGAACACCGGUGGCGAAGGCGGCCUGCUGGACUGCGACUGACGUUGAGGCCCGAAAGCGUGGGGAGCAAACAGGAUUAGAUACCCGAGUAGUC
rnacentral:rRNA from 1 species